ACUUAUUUACUCGCAAGAAGGUUUCGUGUUUGGGGCAGCUUUCUUCACCUCUGUACCGGCAGAUUUGUAAGACUGGAAGUUGUUUCAUUGUUGAGAGAGAUGGAUAUGGUGUAUUGUUAGAAAAUAUUUCCACUUUAAUCUUCCAGGAGCUGGAGAUGUGACUUGAUGACAGUAACGAAUUAGUAACUUUGUGUUGACGGCAGGAAUAAAGCAGGAAAACGAACAACAGCCUCCAUACUCAUCUGAGAAUAGUAAAGGAAUUCCAUAUGAUUUGUCAGUAAAGAUUUCCUGAGAUUGAAAAGAGCACAGCAGGGAUUCACAGGUGAUACUGCUUGCUAAUUUGAGCAUUAUAGAAUGUCCACACAUACGAUAUCAAGAAUCAAACUAUGCAG